GACGAACGCUGGCGGCGUGCUUAACACAUGCAAGUCGAACGAGUGGCGAACGGGUGAGUAAUACGUGAGUAACCUGCCCUCUUUUUGGGAUAAGCCUUGGAAACGUGGUCUAAUACCGGAUAAAGGGGGAUGGGCUCGCGGCCUAUCCGCUUGUUGGUGGGGUGAUGGCCUAACAAGGCGGCGACGGGUAGCCGGCCUGAGAGGGUGACCGGGAACAUUGGGACUGGGGUACGGCCCAGACUCCUACGUGAUGCAGCAGUGGGGGAUAUUGGACAAAGGGCGAAAGCCUGAUGCAGCGACGCCGCUUGGGGGAUGAAGGCUUUCGGGUUGUAAACCUCUUUCGCUUUCGAACGGGUAGGUGGAGAAGAAGCGCCGGCUAACUACGUGCCAGCAGCCGCGGUAAUUC
rnacentral:rRNA from 1 species